rnacentral:rRNA from 1 species
AUACGGAGGGCGCAAGCGUUACUCGGAAUCACUGGGCGUAAAGCGCGCGCAGGCGGCUUGAUAAGUUGGAUGUGAAAGCCUACGGCUCAACCGUAGAACUGCAUCCAAAACUGUCAGGCUAGAGUGUGGGAGAGGAAGAUGGAAUUAGUUGUGUAGGGGUAAAAUCCGUAGAGAUAACUAGGAAUACCAAAAGCGAAGGCAAUCUUCUGGAACACUACUGACGCUGAGGCGCGAAGGCGUGGGGAGCAAACAGGAUUAGAAACCCCGGUAGUCC